AUAAUGCAAGUCGAACGAUACCACUUGGCUUGCUACGAUUAGGAAAGUGGCGCACGGGUGCGUAACGCGUAUGCAACCUACCUUAAUCAGGGGGAUAGCCCGAAGAAAUUCGGAUUAACACCGCAUAAAAUCACAGUACAGCAUUGUACAAUGAUCAAAUAUUUAUAGGAUUAAGAUGGGCAUGCGUGUCAUUAGUUAGUUGGCGAGGUAACGGCUCACCAAGACCACGAUGACUAGGGGAUCUGAGAGGAUGACCCCCCACACUGGUACUGAGACACGGACCAGACUCCUACGGGAGGCAGCAGUAAGGAAUAUUGGUCAAUGGAGGCAACUCUGAACCAGCCAUGCCGCGUGCAGGAAGACAGCCCUCUGGGUCGUAAACUGCUUUUAUUCGGGAAUAAACCUACUUACGUGUAAGUAGCUGAAUGUACCGAAGGAAUAAGGAUCGGCUAACUCCGUGCCAGCAGCCGCGGUAAUACGGAGGAUCCAAGCGUUAUCCGGAUUUAUUGGGUUUAAAGGGUGCGUAGGCGGCUUAUUAAGUCAGGGGUGAAAGACGGUGGCUCAACCAUCGCAGUGCCCUUGAUACUGAUGAGCUUGAAUACACUAGAGGUAGGCGGAAUGUGACAAGUAGCGGUGAAAUGCAUAGAUAUGUCACAGAACACCGAUUGCGAAGGCAGCUUACUAUGGUGUUAUUGACGCUGAGGCACGAAAGCGUGGGGAUCAAACAGGAUUAGAUACCCUGGUAGUCCACGCCCUAAACGAUGAAUACUCGCUGUUAGCGAUACACAGUUAGCGGCUAAGCGAAAGCGUUAAGUAUUCCACCUGGGGAGUACGCCCGCAAGGGUGAAACUCAAAGGAAUUGACGGGGGCCCGCACAAGCGGAGGAACAUGUGGUUUAAUUCGAUGAUACGCGAGGAACCUUACCCGGGCUUGAAAGUUAGUGAAUGAUCUAGAGAUAGAUCAGUGAGCAAUCACCCGAAACUAGGUGCUGAUGGCUU
rnacentral:rRNA from 1 species